rnacentral:rRNA from 1 species
CGGACUGGACCAGCGGCCCGCCGGGGACCUCAAACUCUUGUAUUCCAGCAUCUUCUGAAUACGCCGCAAGGCAAAACAAAUGAAUCAAAACUUUCAACAACGGAUCUCUUGGCUCUGGCAUCGAUGAAGAACGCAGCGAAACGCGAUAAGUAAUGUGAAUUGCAGAAUCCAGUGAAUCAUCGAAUCUUUGAACGCACAUUGCGCCCGCCAGCAUUCUGGCGGGCAUGCCUGUUCGAGCGUCAUUUCAACCCUCGACCUCCCCUUGGGGAGGUCGGCGUUGGGGACCGGCAGCACACCGCCGGCCCUGAAAUGGAGUGGCGGCCCGUCCGCGGCGACCUCUGCGCAGUAAUACAGCUCGCACCGGGACCCCGACGCGGCCACGCCGUAAAACACCCAACUUCUGAACGUUGACCUCGAAUCAGGUAGGACUACCCGCUGAACUUAAGCAUAUCAAUAAGCGGAGGA